rnacentral:rRNA from 1 species
GCGCGAAAACUUUACAAUGCGGGAAACCGUGAUAAGGGGACACCGAGUGCUAGCAUCAUAUGCUGGCUGUCCAGGUGUGUAAAAUACACCUGUUAGCAAGGGCCGGGCAAGACCGGUGCCAGCCGCCGCGGUAACACCGGCGGCCCGAGUGGUGAUCGUGAUUAUUGGGUCUAAAGGGUCCGUAGCCGGUUUGGUCAGUCUUCCGGGAAAUCUGAUAGCUCAACUAUUAGGCUUUCGGGGGAUACUGCCAGGCUUGGAACCGGGAGAGGUAAGAGGUACUACAGGGGUAGGAGUGAAAUCUUGUAAUCCCUGUGGGACCACCUGUGGCGAAGGCGUCUUACCAGAACGGGUUCGACGGUGAGGGACGAAAGCUGGGGGCACGAACC